rnacentral:snRNA from 1 species
ACACCAUCGGCAGUACAUAUACUAAAAUUGGAACGAUACAGAGAAGAUUAGCAUGGCCCCUGCGCAAGGAUGACACCAUCACACCGGGGGUUAUGGCUAUAUGC